GGAUGGGGCUACUCGGGUUGCCUCUGCUGUGGUUAGGAUCUAAGGCACCGCGCUAUUGUAAAGGGACCGGCUGGGACGGACGCCCUGGCUGUCCUGGAACUCACUCUGUAGAUCAGGCUGGCCUUGAACUCAGAAAUCCACCUGCCUCUGCCUCCCGAGUGCUGGGAUUAAAGACAAGAGCCGCCGCCCGACUUGCCUAGCACAUUCUCGCUCCGUGAUUAUUUGCGGAAGAAAGGGAUAUGCACACAGUCCCUGCGGUUAUCUAAGUAGAUUUGAGGCAGGAACGAAGGGUAUAGUCCGAGCCUUACUCAUCCCAGCCUGUUGCUAACCUAUUGAGGUCAAGAUGGCUUAGAGCCACUGAGCUAUGAUUUCCGGGGACCCAGGGCAUCUGGAGCCCUGGGUUGCUGGAAGACACAUGAAUAGCUGGCCACAACUGAGGGGUGAUUUGAGCCUUGCAGUGAAUCCUGUCAGCUUCCUCUCUGCUAGGAAAAGCCAACUCCUGCUUUUGUUUGAAACUUGGUAUGAAAACUAUAUUGGAUGUGGAAUUUUCGAGAAUCACAAUAUGUUUAAGUGUACCCUCAAGAGAUGACACUACUCAGCCCUAUAGUGGCCCCUGACUGUCCUAUGGCCGGUAACUUCUUGAAGGCACAGAGCUAGGAACAGAGGAUGUGCUUCAAGUCUGGCCACAGCUCUCUCUUGUGCUGCCGAUGCUCCGUGGGAUGACAUCUGGCUCAGGAUCAGAUCAGCCCGGUCCACUGUCCAUACCGGAAGGAACAUUGACAUCCAAGGAUGCCUCUGCAGUUGCAUUGGGAGCCAAAGGUCUCAGCACCUAGUCAUAGCCAGUGUCUUCCCUUUAUGAAGGUAUUUGUAACUUUGCUGCUCAUUCCUGGCAGCCUGGAAGUCCUUGUUGCUGCUCAACCCUGUUGGCUGUCUCUUCCCCACUAGGGGAGCUUAGUGUCAUAUGUAAACAUAGACAGGUCCCUGGGUUCUCUCUGGACAAGCACUGGAAAGCAGCUCAAUCCCCGAGGCUGCAGUACCAGCUGGGACAGUUCCCCAUCCAAAGACCAAGGCCUGUCGUGCACAGCAGGAUGGGGUCUGGGACUGUGGUUCCAGAGACCUGACUUCAGGAGUGGAAACCUGCAUGCUGACUCCUGCCUGCAGGCACCGAACGACACACAUGGUCCACUUUGUGCAUAUCACCUUGAUUUUUUUUUUCAUGUCCAUCAUAGAAAAGAGUGAUU
rnacentral:lncRNA from 1 species